UGUCCACAGUUACUGGUCUGAAACUGUUCAGGACUGUAGCAGUUGCAGUAUUCCCUCUGUGGAAGAUAAACUGUUACGUAGUAUUAAGCUCCUUCUCAGAUCUUCUAAGAAGGACUUUCUAUGUAACAAACAACG
rnacentral:snoRNA from 1 species